UAGGGAAUAUUAGUAAUGGGCGCAAGCCUGAACUAGCAACGCCGCGUGUGCGAAGAAGGCCAUCGGGUUGUAAAGCACUUUUUGAGAGGAUGAGGAAGGACGGUACUCUCAGAAUAAGUCUCGGCUAACUACGUGCCAGCAGCCGCGGUAACACGUAGGAGGCGAACGUUAUCCGGAUUUACUGGGCGUAAAGCGCGUGUAGGUGGAUUGGUAAGUAGGGCGUGAAAGCUCCUGGCUCAACUGGGAGAGGCCGUUCUAAACUGCCGAACUAGAGGAUGGUAGAGGGAGGUGGAAUUCCGGGUGUAGCGGUGGAAUGCGCAGAUAUCCGGAGGAACACCAGUGGCGAAAGCGGCCUCCUGGACCACUCCUGACACUCAGACGCGAAAGCUAGGGUAGCAAACGG
rnacentral:rRNA from 1 species